GAACCUAAAAGAACAUGGAUCCAUGGAUGUAGAGACUGGAAAUUGAACAGUCUGCUCAACUGCCUCCAUCUUGAUUCCCCUACCCCCAUUUUAAGAUACAUGAGGCACUUUAAGAUUUUCAGAGAAGGGUGUCCAGCAAUAUUUUACAAUUUUUAGUGGGAGGGCUGUGAUCUGCUCCUUAAAAAGACAGCUGUGUUUUGGGUUUCAGGGCAAGGUACUAUUUUCAGAAUCCAGGUGGAGUCUUCACACAGUAAAACAAUGCCAAGAGAAAAGGAAGGAAAACAAAAAACUAAAGGAAUACCCGUGCCCAUCGUUCCAAUUCUUCAAAAGUUCCUGAAAACAUACGAGAAGCACUGUGCCCAGACGCAGACAUUUGUGUGUCCAGCCAUCAAACAGGACUUGAAAACCAGCAUCAGCAGUGAACGGAUUCUCAGGAAAUUUAUGCUUGUAAGACCUGAAGAGUCCCCGCCAAGCAUCCCACCAACUUCCUUGGAACCUUUGCUCAUGACAAUUCAAGAUGAGUGUUAUAUGCUGGGGAGAGAGAUCUGUAUCUGGAGCCUUCAGCUGAGCAACCCAGAGAUUGCCAGACUGGCCUCACUUCUGGAGUUGAGGGGGUGUGCCGCCUGCCCAUUUACCAGCCUGGAGCUCAUCAACUGCAGGAUGGAUCUGUGGUCCCUCGGGAGACUUGGGAGGGCUCUGCCAUGCAGCUGUCUGCGUUCUCUCGUCCUCGAUUACUGCAGAUUUGGAAAUGAAGAAAUUGAGAAUAUUUUCUCAGGCCUGGAGAACAACCAAAGGCUUCAAGUCCUCAGUCUGCGCUACUGUGGUCUGGGGCCGCAGAGCGGGCCACGGCUGGGCGCCAUCAUAUGCCAGAGCUCCAUCUGUGAGCUGCACCUUGAUGGCAAUUACUUACAGUGCUCCGGGGCUCUGGCUCUCCUCAGACCCGCAGCAGAGUACGCAGAGAAGCAGGGCAGAGACCAGCCGGCCACAUCCCCACCAGACCCUGGGAGUCCCCCUCAGCAGCUUCGGGUCAAACAGAGGGGAAGUUCAACUUUGAACCAGACUACAAAGUCACCUGGAGCUCUUCCAGGGAAAACCACUGCAGGGAAGGAGCGGAGGAAAAAAGGAAUCAAGAAAAAAAUAAAAGAUUUGACUGAAGCUGGCCCAUGGUUAGUGAAAUUGUAUUUGGCAGAUAAUGGCAUAGACAGAAAAGGAAAAGAAGGAGAAAAUGGCUUAUUGGAAUUCACUCAAAUUUUAACAUGCUUGAUCACAUACUCCGCUCACUUAAGGGAAAUUGACCUCGGAAACAAUGCCCUGGGAGAAAUGGCUGCUGCUGACAUACUUGAAGCACUGAGAGCCAGAAAGACAGACCCAGGACACCCAGCAUGGUGGAGAAUGAGGGUGAUGUAAGAAGCUGAAAUGAAGAGGAUUAGGGAAAAUUCUACACACUGAACACUUGGGACUCCGCCUCUGCCGUUACCAGAGCCACUUUGUCUGCCCUGUUUCUGGAGCCUGAUAGCCGUGUAGAAGACUGGGGUAUUCUUUUUUUUUUUUUUUUUUNAGAGAGCGUGCAUGCAAGAGCAGGGGCAGAGGGGGUGGGCAGAGAGAGAAGGGAGAGAGAAUCUUAAGCAGGCUCCACACACAGCACAGAGCCUGACACAGGGCUUGAUCUCACAACCCUGAGACCAUGACCUGAGCCAAAAUCAAGAGUCAGAUGCUUAACUGACUGAGCCAUCCAGGUGCCUGUGGGGUAUUCUUUGAUAGACUGAAUAGCCCCAGAGAAAGGAGCAACAGGUGCUGACUCCUGGCCAUGCCCUCAUCAUUCAAAAAAGCCCAGCAGGUAAGCAAGCCCUGCUCAUACAGAAAGAGCUUCCCAUCAGCAUUUGGAUGCCUCAUGCUUCACUGUGAACAGAAAUCUGAGAACUUCCCCCAGUAAAACAGAAGAUAAUGCUUCUGUAAAACAAGAACAGGAUGCUAUGAAAAAAGAAUAAUUGGGAAAAUAAGAAAAAGUUCUUUGCAAAUAAAAAUGGUAGCCAAAAUAAAAAUUUCAAAACAAAUGUUGAAAGAUGAAGUCAAGCAAGUCUUUAAAAAGUAGAACAAAAAAUUGAUGAGAAUAUAUAGAGAGGAUCAGUCUGUGGACACCAGCAUUUAUUUAACUCAUAGUUCAGAAAGAGAGGAGAGAAAAGUGGGGAGAGGGCAUUAUCAAAUAAUUAUCAAAUAAAUCAAGAACUUUCCCUGAACCAACAGACAUAAAUCUGCAUAUUGAAAGAGUCCAUUGAGUGCCCAGCAACAGUGAAUGAUAAAAGCUAUAUCACCAUGGCAUUUAGAACACUAGGAACAAAGGGGAGAAUCUAACAACUUAGAGAUAAAUACUGUAUAUUCCAUUGGAAGGACUGAGAAUCAGAAUGACAUCAGACUUCUAACUGGAAGCUAGAAACUAUGGGCACUGACAUGACAACUCUGUGAGAACUCUAUACAUUCCCAACUCUUAACCAAGUAUGACAAUAAAGUAAAGAUGUUUUUAGCACACAAGAACUCACACUGGGCCUCCUCUGUUUCCUAGGAAGCUCCCAGAGAACACACUUGAGCAAAAUGAGAGUGAACCACAAAGAUGAAGAAUGCAGAACCCAGAAAUCAGGAGAGUCAAUAUAGAAAAGUAGAAAAGGAAAUCCCAGAUGAUGGUUGAGGGCCAGAACUAGUCCAAAUUGGAGCCGAAAAAUAGAAGACUUUGGAAAGGAGGAAUACUGCAGUAAAAACUGAGUAGAGCAUUGGAAAUACUUAAGUAUUUUGCAAGAAAUAUGGGUAUAUGACAAAUAAAAGAAAUUGGGGGAAAUACUUAAAAUAGGUACACAGAAAACAACGCAAAGGAAAAAUUGAGACAAUUAUUAACUCAAACAGAAGAAAAUUAUAUAAGUGGGGCACCUGGCUGGGUCAGUCAGCAGUGUGUGACUCCUGAUGUUGGGGCUGUACAUUCAAGUUGGGUGUAAAGAUUACUUGAAAUAAAAUCUUAAAAAAGAAUUAUAUAAGAAAGGGAAACACUGUGAACAAAAUGUAUAUGACCAUCCCAGUCAACAUACCAAGUGUUGAUUUAACUAAAAAUUGUGAAAUGUCACUAUUGGGAGGUUUGGUGAGAGGAAAUGAUAACAGUUAAUAUGUAAAAUUUUUACUGGAAAUAUCAAAUAAUAUAAAAAGCAGUUUGUUUGAAAUAAGGCAGUAAAUCUCAUGAAAAACAGCUGAGUGAGUUAAAAGUGGUUGUCUCUGGAGAAGAAGACUGGGGGUGUCGAGGGGAAAGGCAAGGUUCUGUUGUUUUUCAUUAGGAACUUUUUAGCUCUGUUUAAUUUUUUAGCUAUAUGUACACAUUACUUUGAUUAUAUUUUUAGAGAAUUGAAAAGUGGAUCUCUUUCUACCAUGUGACUCAUUGUUAUAUAAUUCCAUGUCAAUAUCUAAUACUAUCUCUUUUUUUUAGAUUUUAUUUAUUUGAGAGAGAGAGCACUCGCACAAGCAUGAGUUGGGGGAGGGGCAGAGGGACAAGCAGACUCCCCACUGAGUGCAGAGCCUGACUUGGGGAUCGAUCCCAGUGCCCCGAGAUCAUGACCUGAGCUGAAGUCAGACGCUGAAUGACUGAGCCACCCAGGCAGCCCAGUAUCUAAUACUAUCUUUAAUCACCUCAGCUUCCACUAAGGGGUUGGAGGCCUCACACACUAUAUAGAACAUUGACAAAUGGCUAGAGUUUUAUAAAGAGAUAAAAAGGAUGACCAAAAGUGUGAUGUUCAGGGAAUAUGACAG
ensembl:lncRNA uncharacterized LOC100467314